CACAUGACCGGUGACCGAGUAAACAGGAAGCCAUAAAAAGUUUGCCGUCAGUUCAAGAAAGUCUCUCUUGGCUGCUUGUCACUGGUCUUCUCCCUCUCACAAAGGGCGAGUGCAAGACGAGAGUUUACCAUUGACGGAGGAAAACUCUCCCGACAGGCACAAGACCGGAGCUUAAUGUACACAACCGGCCCAGCUACCCGGGAUAUUAAGUGACCAUUUCCCCGGCAGGAUUAAGCCGAGUUGGAAACCUACUCUGUGGAAGUUGCGCUCCUCUGCGGCGUAGGCCUGGGCCCGGGUGGAACGCUGCCUGCCUUCAGUGUAGGGACUGCACGGUGUGACACUUUAUUUUCUGUAUGCUAAAUAACUCACUGUUAUUAUUUUAUAGAGAUUGUGGUUUAAAUAUUGCAUGCUUAUGUUGUUUUGGUGUGUGGCUUUUCUUGUUUUUGUCCCUCACGAUUAGCAGGCACUGCAACCCAGCGGACCGGGCCUGCCCAACUGAGGAGGGUAACUUAUAUAUGUAUUGAAUUGUAUUUGCCAUUUUUAUACUGGACAUGAAUCGACAUUUUAAACUGUUUCCAAACACUUAUUAAAUAAAGCUGUGUUAUGUUUUUGGAA